GAUCAUGGCUCAGGAUGAACGCUGGCGGCGUGCCUAACACAUUCAAGUCGAACGAACUGCAGAAAUGCAGUGAGUGGCGGACGGGUGAGUAACGCGUAAGCAAUCUGCCUUUGUGUGUGGAAUAACAACCGGAAACAGUUGCUAAUACCGCAUAACGCACAGAGAUCGCAUGAUUUUUGUGCCAAAGAUUUAUCGCACGAAGAUGAGCUUGCGUCCGAUUAGAUAGUUGGCGGGGUAACGGCCCACCAAGUCGACGAUCGGUAGCCGGACUGAGAGGUUGAACGGCCACAUUGGAACUGAGAUACGGUCCAGACUCCUACGGGAGGCAGCAGUGGGGAAUAUUGGGCAAUGGACGAAAGUCUGAACCCCCAGCGACGCCGCGUGAGGGAAGAAGGUCUUCGGAUUGUAAACCUUAGUCAACAGGGACGAAGCAAGUGACGGUACCUGUGGAGGAAGCCACGGCUAACUACGUGCCAGCCGCUGC
rnacentral:rRNA from 1 species